CACGUAGGGGGCGAGCGUUGUCCGGAUUUAUUGGGCGUAAAGAGCUCGUAGGCGGUUCGGCAAGUCGGGUGUGAAAUUUCGAGGCUCAACCUCGAAACGCCACUCGAUACUGCUGUGACUGGAGUCCGGUAGAGGAGUGCGGAAUUCCUGGUGUAGCGGUGAAAUGCGCAGAUAUCAGGAGGAACACCAAUUGCGAAGGCAGCUCGCUGGGACGUUACUGACGCUGAGACGCGAAAGCGUGGGGAGCAAACAGG
rnacentral:rRNA from 1 species